rnacentral:rRNA from 1 species
UACGUAGGGGGCAAGCGUUGUCCGGAAUCAUUGGGCGUAAAGCGCGUGUAGGCGGCUCGAUAAGUCCGCUCUGAAAGUCCAGGGCUCAACCCUGGGAUGCGGGUGGAUACUGUCGGGCUCGAGUCCGGAAGAGGCGAGUGGAAUUCCCGGUGUAGCGGUGAAAUGCGCAGAUAUCAGGAGGAACACCAAUUGCGAAGGCAGCUCGCUGGGACGUUACUGACGCUGAGACGCGAAAGCGUGGGGAGCAAACAGG